CUAUAGGCUGCCAUGGAAACCACCUGUCACGGCAGGGCUUCUUGCAGCCAACACUCUCAUCUAUUUGAGGCCUGCUUUUCUCCAUCCUAUCCUCCCUUCUAUUCAUGAGGUCUGGUUCAAUCCCUAUCUCAUUCUCAAGAAAACAUUGAUGUGGGUCGUGGCAGCUGGUAUCUGCUUUGGAAGUACAUGGAUAGUAUUGCUAGGCUUGAUGGAGUAGGAUGGAUAGUGUUUGGAUGAAAAAGAAGAAGUGACAAAAUGCAGAAGGAAAGAGUGGACUCUGAAAAACAGCAGUAGUUUGUUUACGGAGAUGGUUUAAAUGUUCUUUUCUUUUGGCCUUUUUACUUAAAGAAGACUGCCUACCAUAAAUUUUCCCUCCACCUCAGCAAGUGUUGUCAUCACCACAUUAUCAAUUGCAUCCACCCCCAAUUGUCACUGAUUUAAAAUCUCACAGAACAAAUUGAUAAAACUAAAGCAUGGGAUUGUAUUGAAAUGUCUGCAAAGUUCAAGAUAUUUGGAUCAGUAGGCCUAUUUUGUACGUAAAUAUUCACCUUUUUAUUCAACCUUUGCCUUUGAAUGAAACAGUAUAGGGACAUGAAACGUUUCUUCCUCUCACCAUUCUACCACGUUGGGGAGCCUCAUCUGGUGUACAACAUGCUGUCUCUUUUGUGGAAGGGUAUCCAGUUGGAAACUUCAAUGGGAAGUUCUGAAUUUGCAUCUAUGGUUGCUGCACUGCUUACUAUGUCCCAGGGCAUCACGCUGCUACUAGCAAAGUCCCUUCUCUUGUUCUUUGACUAUGAAAAGCCUUUCUAUUCUGAGUAUGCUGUUGGGUUCUCUGGUGUUCUCUUUGCAAUGAAAGUCGUCCUUAAUUCUCAGUCUGAAAACUAUACAUAUGUGCAUGGACUGGUGGUACCAGCGCGCUAUGCUGCAUGGGCUGAAUUGGUUCUUAUUCAAAUUUUUGUUCCUGGGGUCUCAUUUCUGGGCCACCUCGGUGGAAUACUUGCCGGAAUUCUCUAUUUGAAGUUGAAAGGAUCAUUUUCAGGUCUAGACCCAUUGACUUCAGUCGUAAGAAAUCUUACAGGCAUAUUGAGCUGGCCUUUGAAGUUUAUGAAAGGCUUACUUAGACUAAGGCGGCCACGGAUUUCUGGUAGGGGAACUGUGGGAGGGAGUCAGGCAGGAAGGACGGUAUCAGGGGUAUGGAGGUGUCAAGCAUGUACUUUUGAUAAUUCUGUUUGGUUAAGUGUAUGUGAGAUGUGCGGGACAAGUCGAGGCCACAGUGGAUUUUCAUCCAGCCAAUCUCAACAUCAGUAUGACAACCUAACAUUGGCAGAAAUACGUCGAAGGAGGAUUGAAAGGUUUGGUCGAUGAUUGUUCUGUUCUCCUCAAUUAUUUUGAAUAUAUUGGGUAUCAUCUUAUAGCUGAUGCUGGCAAUGGCAUGUUUCUCAUUUCGUCGUGUUAAUUUCAUAGUUCGUUCGAUAGCAAAUUGGUGAUCAUAGGCAUGGCUUGCUUUCUACUCUAAUAUCAAAUUUUGUAAUUAUUAUUUUCUUAUGUGCAGUGAACUGAGAGAUUUGAAUGCGUACCCAUAUAGACAAGUUAUUGCUAAUGCCAUCUUUGUUUUCAA